rnacentral:lncRNA from 1 species
GCGGUGGCAGCGGCGGCAGCCCGGAAGGCGCUGGAGCCUUCCACCCCGCAGUGGAAGAGGAGAGGAUGGACCAGAGGACCGAGGAAAGGACUGGAGUAAGCUAGCCGGAGGAAGUCCCACGGCCGCGGAGCAUCCGUCCUGAAGAAGCCUUCUCCACCCUGGACACUUUAAGCAGUGGUGGCGGUAAAAGGCGUGAGGUUGCGGACUGGGCAGCAAGCCUCCCGCGUUCCGAUGAUGCUCUGCCCUCCAGAGAAGACAAGUGAAGAAGUGUCCGGUCGGGGUGUCCACUUCAGGGAGCACCAUCUCCCCUUCCAUAAGAACGUACUCAAAACAUGAACGGUCUUCCCAUACUCUGCUCAUCGCCACGACAGAUAAUUAAAGCAUCACUUGCUGAGACAGAGGAAGGAGGAAGAGUUCCCUGCCUACCACCCUUCCUCAUCCAUUCAGCCAUCUCCUCAGUCCCGUUCAUCUUGAACACUCUUGGCCUCCAUUUUUCUGGACUAAACGUUUAAACUGCUCUUGAACUGAAGGUACUAAGGAGCCUCCAGCAGUUGUUCUCUUCUUGGUCUCAAGAUUUAAAUUCCCUCACUUGAAGCAAGAAAAGGAGGGAAGUCAGGAGGUGAGCAUCUCACUUUGAAAAUGUUUCUGUCUUCUGGACUGUCUUCCUCUACAUGGAGUAGAGGAGUAGGAACAGUCUGCCAUACUUGCCUCAGGGGUGUGCGACAUUGUUAAAGGCCAAGAAGCUUCAGGAGAUGUAAACUCAGAUGACCUUCACUACA